GUAAAGUCAGCUAAUU
rnacentral:tRNA from 10 species